GAACUGCUGUGGUAUACGAAUUCAUACCUAUGUGUUGACCGACUAUUUUUUGUAUUUAUCGGGAAACAAGAGAUUUCUGGCAGCAUGCAGGCCGUCUCACACGGAAGCAGCUAAGUCAGGAACGCGUUACCCACCUGCUUAUAUGCGCGGGAUCAAUACAAAUCUUGAAUCACCGGUACCAAUACAGCAUUUUU
rnacentral:other from 1 species